AGAGAGAGACAUGCGCGCAUAUCAAUAAGCGGAGGAAAAGAAACUAACAAGGAUUCCCCUAGUAACGGCGAGUGAAGCGGGAAGAGCUCAAAUUUGAAAUCUUAAAGGGUUCUCCCUUGACGAAUUGUAGUUUAAAGAAGUGUUUUCUGUUGGAGUUUUGGUAAAAGUUCUUUGGAAUAGGACAUCAUAGAGGGUGAGAAUCCCGUAUUUGACCAUUAUUUCCAGCUUUGUGAUACACUUCCAAAGAGUCGGAUUGUUUGGGAAUGCAGUCCAAAAUGGGUGGUAAAUUUCAUCUAAAGCUAAAUAUUGGCGAGAGACCGAUAGCGAACAAGUACCGUGAGGGAAAGAUGAAAAGAACUUUGAAAAGAGAGUUAAACAGUACGUGAAAUUGUCAAAAGGGAAGCGUUUGACACCAGUGUUGUUUUCUCGAAAAUCAAUUAAAAAAGGCAGGAUUUUGUGUUGUAUUGACUUUAUCAGCUUUCUGCACUCUUUUCUUGUCUUUUUUAAUGCACUUUUCGUUUAACAAGUCAACAUCAAUUUCUUUUGUUGUAAAAGGGUCAUUGGAAGGUGGCUUUCUUUUCGGAGAAAGUGUUUAUAGCCUUUGGCCUCUGCAAUCGGAGAGAUUGAGGUCUGCAGCGUAGAUCCUUCGGGGUUAGAUACAUUUGUGCUAAGUUAUAGCCUUUUCAUAGACAACUUGUUGACUAUGAUCAGUCAUGUAGCUUACUCGCUUAUGCUAUUUUACCUACGCUUAGGAUGUUGAUGUGAUACUGCGAGCA
rnacentral:rRNA from 1 species